GUUACGGCGGUUGGCCAGCCUCUGUGCUGACUUGGAUUUCACCAGUACUUCCGCUAACUGCCGUUUCUGUCUCAUGAUCCAUCUGGAGAACGUAUCACUCCGCAGUCCUGUCUCUGUAGUUUCCUCUGCUCAGCGACUGUUUCUCAGAGUUCCAUUGAUCAUCAGGACCUUAAACGUUUUUGAAGGUUCUCGCUAUGUGCCUGGUAAAAUACUUCUCUACCUGGAUCGAUCGGGUAUUUUGUUUGUGGUUAGACUGGAGUUCUGGGUAGAGGAAUACCACAGAAGUCUGGGAGCCUCCUCACAGCCAAAGCCCAUAUAUCCACAUGGCGUGUCAUCACUGAAGCUACCCUUGAUCACUAAGUUUCUCCACUUGAAGAUCUCUCUGUCCUCUCCUCUGAUGCUGUGUUUUUUGGUUUUGGUUUUGGUUUUGGUUUUUUGAAGCAAAAGCCAUAGCUGAAGGGGAGGCAACCACUAAGCCUUGCUUCCUGGGGCCAGGAGCAUCUGUGUAAAGCGCUUGGCAUUGUUGGAAUUCUUCUGUGAGAGAGGAGAACAGACGCUGUGAUCUACGUAAGAGGAAAUGGAUCUCUCUGUAUGUUCCCAGCCUUGUGCUGAGAGGCUGGUUUUGAAGACAAGGAUGUCAGCAUUUAUGCUGAACUACCUCUCUGGUUCAGGAGUCGACAGCCCACCAAGGAGUAGUCAAGUCUCCGUCUUUUCUGCCCAGCUGUCGAUCCUCGAGACCUUGGUGGCAGCAGGACCAGACUGGCAGGAGAGAACCGCCUGCAACGUUCAUGGUUCCUCAACAGAUAUUUGUUGAGUGGCUGGCGGAGGACCGGAAAAGGUGAAGGAGAUGUGCUGUCAUCUGCAGAGAUUCUUCUCCAAACUUCGUGAAACCCAUUUUCUGGGAUGGAUUCACUGUCUCAUAAUUCACAGCGAACCUUCCUCCCCAAAUGAACCAUGACCGACACACAUGUUGAAAUCAUCCACUAUAUGAAAAUGACAAAACUUGAAACCAGUGAAGAAGCAUGAUCGAUUUUGGAAAAAGCGUCUGGAGAACAGGCUGCCAGCAUUCACAGAGCUGAUUUUAAGUUUCAGGCCCCCAGGCUGUCUCUGUAUUAUCUCUCUCUUCUCCUUUCUUCCUCUACCCCUUCCUUGGGUCAUUCCUUUGCCUAACCACCCAUUUCCCUCCAGAUUAGAAAUUCAUCUAAGCACGGUCUUACUUUCGCAUUCCUCUUUGCCAAUCGGAAGUGUCAAGUCAAGCCGGUGCAGAAUUCCCAGAGGGAGCAAUUAGCUCUGGCUGGCUGUGAGAUCCCAGCCUCCACAGGGGGGGUGUGGGGGGUGUGCUGCGGUGCUGGCUCUUGACUGGUGCCUACGUGUCGGAACAGGAAGUCGGUAGGCAGGAAGUCGGUAGCAAGCUAGAACAGGCAGACAUUAAUCUGCAGUGUGUGCCAGGCCCGGGGAAUAAGAGCUGCGUGUGCCGGAGCAGCACAGCUUUCUCAGGUGGGGAAACCGGGAAUGAGUAACUCGAAGUCUAUUGGCUCGGUCGCCUAGUCACAUCGAGAUCUGCAUGCAGAAAUCUCUGUCCUCCUCACCUACCAUGUCCUUCCGCGUGAUGCUGCGUUCCACACCAUGAGGAUAAUGGACUAAACCUCUGAAAUCGUAGGUAAGCCCCCAUUGGAUGCUUCCUUUUCUGAGAGGCCUUAGUCAUGGUGUCUCUUCACAGCAGUAGGACAUUGACUAAGACAGGCAACAGUAGGUAGGCUUGGGGGUUGCUUGCUGCCUUUUUUGUUGUUGUUGUUUUUGUUUUUCAAGACAAGAUUUCCCUGUGUGGCUUUGGAGGCUGACCUGGAACUCACUCUUGUAGCCCUGGCUGGCCUCGAACUCACAGAGAUCCGCCUGCCUCUGCCUCCCGAGUGCUGGGAUUAAAGGCGUUCGCCACCAACGCCAGGCUUGCCUGCUGCCUUCAAGCUCGGUCACUGCUUAGCACUCCCUCAACCCAGAUCUCUGCCUCUGUGCCAUUUAAUGACCAUUAAAAGUCUCAUUUGCCAGGACAGGCUCCAAAACAAUACAGAGAAGCCCUGUCUCGAAAAACCAAAAAAAAAAAAAAAAAAAAAAAAGUCUCAUUCGAAUGAGCAGCUAGCUUUCUUUGAUCUACACUACAGGAGACAGCGCCAAAUAUUUAUCAUCUGGGGGAAUUCCUUUCAAGGCUUUGGACCACCUAAGGAAGCUUGCAUGGACAUGGUUCCUCUUCUCUCUCUCUCUCUCCUUCCCUUCUUUCCUUUCACCCAAAAUUCACACACACACACACACACACACACACACACAUAUAUAUAUAUAUAUAGUCUUUGUUCUCCUUGGGCCCUGGCCCUCAGCUCAACCCCAGGCUUCCCUUUGCAUAACACAAAAUAGUUUGACUUUAAAAACGUGAUCAAAUUCUUAGGCUAAAGCUACCAGCUUCCCACCUCACGGGUGGAGUAGCAUAGUCCUUUAGAAACAUGUCCCCACAUUCUCUGCUACUUCACCAUUCAUACUGUUGACACCUAACAGUUGUUGGGGAGCAUGGCUGUAAUCGAGCAGGAGGAUCCCAAGUCUGAAGCCAGGAUGGGCUUAGUAAAGCCAAGCCACACACAGAAUCAUGGGCUCUACAUACACAAUUCCAACAAAUGAACUCUAGCAAAAUUGGGGUGUAACAGCUAAGAAGUUAUUGGAUCUCUAUCCCACCCUGGGGACAAAGUCAGCUCUCCUGAUCUACAGAGUGAGUUCCGGGACAACCAGGGUUACAAAGAGAAACCCUGUCUUGAAAAAUCCAGAAAAGAGAAAAUUGUUCCACUUUAUCUCUUUAGCAUUGCUUAAGGCAAGUCCACCGUUCUAGGGCAGCCUCUCCUCUCUGAGGGAUUCUCCCAUGGCCAUGUGACUGACUCCCCCCCAUCAGUAUAUAAUUGUUUUUAGACCAGCUUUACAGAGGAGUAUAGGCUCAUCAGGUGGGGAGGGGGGUCAGGAGUUCAAGUUCAGGGUCAUCCUUAGUUAUGUAGUAAGUAUGAGGCUAGCCUGGGCUAUCUGGGACUACAUCAGAAAGAAGAGCUGAGAUGGGGGAGUGGAGAGGAGACAGGGAGUUUCAGGUACAGGGUCAUCCUUGACUAUGUAGUAAGUGUGAGGCUAACCUGGGCUAUCUGAGACUACAUCAAAAAGAAACAUUGGCAGAGAGAGGGGGGGAGGGGGAGGGAGAGAGAGGGAGAGAGAGGGAGGGAGGGAGAGAGAGAGAGAGAGGGAAGGAGGAGACAGGAAAGUGGUCAGGGAGGAACAAAUGUGCUCUCAGCCUGUUUUUAAUGCAAAGAACCAGUAGAUACCAGUGAGGCUAACUGAGUACCCUUUAGAGAAAAGAUUAGAAACUAAAACAAGAGAAUUAGGACAAACGAGCGGCUCCUGAUUUCCGCUGGAAAUAGGAAAACACGUUCACGUAAUUUCGCUUAGUGUGCGAGCUUGAACAAAAGCCAGGGCUCCCGGAACUGGGUCAGGAGAAGGCCUCUCAGAAGGAGAAAGCCGGGGAAACCAGAACCAAGGCUAACACUAAAGGCAGUUUUGCCCCGCCCUCCGCGGCAGAGACCAGCCCAGAGCAGUGACUGAGAUGGCAAUUAGGAGCAGGAAGCUGGGCAAGCUUCUGGUGGAGAUGCUGCGUCUAGAAAGCCACAUCUCUGGUCUCUUGAGGUGCAAACAGCAGGGAAUCUGGAAUCCUUAAAGUCCACCCUCUCCCCAAAGAGUGAAGGAGCCCUUGGAGGUUUAGUCCGUUUACAGAGCACAAGGGAUCGCACGCUCUUAAACCGGGGUAUUCUUACGGGGCUCGCCUUCCAUGGAGGCAAAGAAUGUAUUUUUCCCAGUUACAAAAAAAAGCAACUGCUCCAUUCCAUCAGUAACAAUCUUCUGCAAGUGUAGCAUGAAUAAUAAAAACCCAGAGACAGCCGGGCGUUGGUGGCGUAUGCCUUUAAUCCCAGCACUCAGGAGGCAGA